rnacentral:lncRNA from 1 species
GCAAAUCUUCUUCUUCAUCCUCCAAUCCGUCCAUCCACUUCUUUCUCAACUGGUUUGAGAGAUCUUCAUUAUAUUCUCCUAAUUCACGGAUUUGAGCUUCCAGUUUCAAGAUCUGGACAUCCCAAAGUUCUAAUUGUUGUUGCUGCUGACUCAUCCAUUCUAGAACAUCUUUAAUUGAUACUUGCGACUGGCUCUUCACUCUUAAUUCUUAACUAGAACUACUACUCUCAAAAACACAAGAAAUACAAAAAAAUGGCAC